CCCUUAGAUGUUCGGGGCCGCACGCGCGCUACACUGAAGGAAUCAGCACGUCUUUCUCCUUGUCCGAAAGGACUGGGUAACCCGCUGAACCUCCUUCGUGCUAGGGAUUGGGGCUUGUAAUUCUUCCCCAUGAACGAGGAUUUCCCAGUAAGCGCGAGUCAUAAGCUCGCGUUGAUUACGUCCCUGCCCUUUGUACACACCGCCCGUCGCUACUACCGAUUGGAUGGUUUAGUGAGAUCCUCGGAUUGGUCCCGGCGCGGCCUCUGGUCGUGCCGGAGUGCCGAAAAGAAUGUCGAACUUGAUCAUCUAGAGGAAGUAAAAGUCGUAACA
rnacentral:rRNA from 1 species